rnacentral:rRNA from 1 species
AGUGGGAGCACCCUUCGGGGUGUGACUGCGUACCUUUUGUAUAAUGGGUCAGCGACUUAUAUUCUGUAGCAAGGUUAACCGUAUAGGGGAGCCGGAGGGAAACCGAGUCUUAAUUGGGCGUUAAGUUGCAGGGUAUAGACCCGAAACCCGGUGAUCUAGCCAUGGGCAGGUUGAAGGUUGGGUAACACUAACUGGAGGACCGAACCGACUAAUGUUGAAAAAUUAGCGGAUGACCUGUGGCUGGGGGUGAAAGGCCAAUCAAACCGGGAGAUAGCUGGUUCUCCCCGAAAGCUAUUUAGGUAGCGCCUCGUGAAUUCAUCUCCGGGGGUAGAGCACUGUUUCGGCUAGGGGGCCAUCCCGGCUUACCAACCCGAUGCAAACUGCGAAUACCGGAGAAUGUUAUCACGGGAGACACACGGCGGGUGCUAACGUCCGUCGUGAAGAGGGAAACAACCCAGACCGCCAGCUAAGGUCCCAAAGUCAUGGUUAAGUGGGAAACGAUGUGGGAAGGCCCAGACAGCCAGGAUGUUGGCUUAGAAGCAGCCAUCAUUUAAAGAAAGCGUAAUAGCUCACUGGUCGAGUCGGCCUGCGCGGAAGAUGUAACGGGGCUAAACCAUGCACCGAAGCUGCGGCAGCGAACGUAUCACCCAAGACAACUUUACGGAGUUGACGAUUGACGGAGCGAAGCGACGUCAAAGCGUUCAUUAAAGUCGAGUUGGCUUAGGGAUACG